rnacentral:rRNA from 1 species
UGUGUAGGCGGCUUUUUAAGUUUGGUGUGAAAUCUCCCGGCUCAACUGGGAGGGUGCGCCGAAAACUGAAAGGCUAGAGUGCGGGAGAGGAGAGUGGAAUUCCUGGUGUAGCGGUGAAAUGCGUAGAUAUCAGGAGGAACACCGGUGGUGUAGACGGCUCUCUGGACCGUAACUGACGCUGAGACACGAAAGCGUGGGUAGCAAACAGGAUUAGAUACCCUGGUAGUCCACGCCCUAAACGAUGCAUAUUUGGUGUGGGUCAUUCAGUUGAUCCGUGCCGGAGCUAACGCGUUAAAUAUGCCGCCUGGGGAGUACAGUCGCAAGGCUGAA